AUGGCGGGCGGGGAGGAGCAGCAGCAGGAGCGGAUCCUGGUGUCGGUGCGGCUGCGGCCGAUGAACGCCGAGUGCGCCGGCCCCGCCACGCUCAAGUUCCUCGGCACCAUCCCCGAGCGCGCCAUGUUCCCCGCCACCUACACCUACGACCGGGUGUUCGACCCCGAGUGCAGCACCAGGCAGGUGUACGAUGAAGGGGCCAAGGAGGUCGCCCUCUCCGUGCUCAGCGGCAUCAACUCGAGCAUUUUCGCCUACGGGCAGACGAGCAGCGGCAAGACGUACACCAUGGUCGGCAUCACGGAGCACAGCAUGGCCGAAAUUUACGAAUAUAUAGACCAGCAUCCCGACAGGGAGUUCAUCCUCAAGUUCUCGGCCAUGGAGAUAUACAACGAGGCCGUCAGGGAUCUCCUCAGCUCCGACACCACCCCUCUCCGGCUCCUCGACGACCCGGAGAAAGGAACUGUGGUGGAAAAACUCACCGAGGAAACUCUGAGGGACAAAGGCCAUCUACUGGAGCUCCUUGCUGUGUGUGAAGCUCAAAGACAGAUCGGGGAGACUGCCUUGAACGAAACAAGUUCCAGGUCACACCAAAUACUCAGGCUGACGGUUGAGAGCUCGGCCAAGCAGUUCCUGGGGAAAGGCAACUCCAGCACCCUUCAGGCUUGCGUGAACUUCGUUGAUCUGGCAGGAAGUGAACGUGCAUCACAGACAGCGGCGAGCGGAAUGAGGCUGAAGGAGGGCAGUCAUAUCAAUAAGAGUCUUCUUACACUGGGAAAGGUCAUUCGCCAGCUCAGCGGGGGGAGAAACGGCCAUAUCCCCUACAGAGACUCCAAGCUCACUCGCAUAUUGCACUCGUCUUUGGGAGGCAACGCGAGGACAGCCAUCAUCUGCACGAUGAGCCCGGCGCACUGCCACGUCGAGCAGUCGAGGAACACGCUCUUGUUUGCAAACUGCGCAAAAAAUGUAGCCACCAAUGCACAAGUAAAUGUCGUAAUGUCAGACAAGGCAUUAGUGAAGCAUCUUCAGAGAGAGCUUACGAGGUUGGAGAAUGAGCUCAAGUUUCCUGGAUCAGCCUCCUGCUCAAGUCAUGCUGAGGUUCUGAAGGAGAAGGAUGAACAGAUUAAAAAGCUGGAAGAACAGCUGAAGGAAUUGAUGGAGGAAAAAGACACGGUUCAAUCAGAACUUGAGAAUUUCCGCAAAGUUGCAAGUGAUGAUCAACUCAAUUAUCUUAAAGCAAGACGAUGGGAUGCACAUAGUCGAUCUUCAGAAUCCCUACCACGUAAUAUGUCGGAAGAUGCACUUUCAUGUUCAGAUACUUAUGACCUAGUCGAUCAAGAUCUAUUAAUAGAUGCACAGCCAGGGCUCUUUCCGCGCCGACCCAGUAACCAUGUUUUCGACAGCAUAGAUGAAUGCCAAGAAAACUUGGUGGCCUACCCAGAUGUGCCAGAUGUCUCUGAGGAGCACUGCAAGGAAGUACAAUGUGUUGAAACCAACGUGCUCAGAGAAAGGAUAAGCCAAGAAUCCUUUCAUGCACAGAAACCUGAAACGCCUGAAAAGGAGAGAAGACCGAUGAUGGAUCAAGCUGAAGAUUGUACUGAUGAAGAGAAACGUGGUGAAAGCAUCACAAAGACAGCAGAAAAUGCCAUCGAGUUAUAUGCAUGCGAUUCUGACCCGUCUUUUGAAAUUGAAAUAUCUAACAUUGACGAGGAACCAUUGGCCCUGAAGAGGUGUGUGGUAAGCUCCAGGGAUACUGUGCUAGCAAGGAGCAACAGCUGCAAAGCAAGCUUCAUGGUAAUUCCAAACAGCUGGUUUGAUGAUUCAACAAGUAUGAACAUGACAACACCCCCAAGUGAAAAUUUCAAGUUUCCUCCGAGAAGGCCAGAACAGGCAAGGAGGAACCUGUUUCCUGAAAAAGUUGCCUCGGAUGCCAUCACCGACAACAGCACAGGAGUGAAGCAGCAAACUGAGCAGAACGACGCAUCCCAGCCACAGGCAAGGAGGAACACUGAAGAAGAAAGUGCUGCCAAUGACACAAGCCGCGUAACUGAAGUGAAGCAGCAAACUGAGCAGAACGACGCAUCCCAGCCACAGGAAAACCGGGUGCAAGCUGGCACGGAUUCGUCAACGAGCACCACCUUCGAGUCUCCCUCACGGUGGUCCUUUGAUUUUCCAAAGAAGCAGAAAGAGAUCAUCGAGCUGUGGCAUGAGUGUCAUAUCUCCAUAGUGCACAGGACUUACUUCUUCCUCCUCUUCAAUGGAGACCACACAGAUCACAUCUACAUGGAGGUAGAGCACAGGCGACUUUCCUUCAUCAAGCAUUCUUCCAUUGCUGAUGGUGAGCCGAAUGCCACUGUUGCAUCAAGUUUAAAGAGUCUUCGGAAUGAGAGGGACAUGUUGUACAGGCAGAUGGUGAGGAAGCUUAGCGGCGCUGAAAAGGAGAGCCUCUACAUCAAGUGGGGGAUCGACCGGAGCUCUAAGCAACGGAGGCUGCAGCUAUCGCGCCUCAUCUGGACACAGACUGACAUGGAGCAUGUGAGGGAGAGCGCUGAGCUCGUCUCGAAAAUGGUCCAACAUCUGGAGCGAGGACAGGCCAUCAAGGAGAUGUUUGGGUUGAGCUUCUCGCUGAAUCUACGGUCUGGGAAAUCUUUCAGCUGGGGUGGAUCCUAA
rnacentral:rRNA from 1 species